rnacentral:rRNA from 1 species
UACGUAGGUGGCAAGCGUUGUCCGGAUUUACUGGGCGUAAAGAGCUCGUAGGCGGUUCCGUAAGUCAGAUGUGAAAACUCAGGGCUCAACCCGGAGACGCCAUCUGAUACUGCGGUGACUGGAGUCUGGUAGGGGAACACGGAAUUCCUGGUGUAGCGGUGAAAUGUGUAGAGAUCGGGAGGAACACCGGUGGCGAAGGCGGGUCUCUGGGCAUUUCCUGACGCUGAGGCGCGAAAGCGUGGGGAGCAAACGGG